rnacentral:rRNA from 1 species
AGAUUGGACGCUGGCGGCAUGCCUAACACAUGCAAGUCGAACGGGAGUAGCAAUACUCUAGUGGCGGACGGGUGAGGAAUACGUAGGAAUUUGCCCUUAAGUGGGGGAUAACCCGGGGAAACCCGGAUUAAUACCGCAUGACCUCGAAAGAGCAAAGUGGGGGAUCGCAAGACCUCACGCUUUUGGAGAAGCCUACGUCGGAUUAGCUAGUUGGUGAGGUAAUGGCUCACCAAGGCGACGAUCCGUAACUGGUCUGAGAGGAUGAUCAGUCACACCGGAACUGAGACACGGUCCGGACUCCUACGGGAGGCAGCAGUGGGGAAUAGUUGGACAAUGGGCGCAAGCCUGAUCCAGCAAUGCCGCGUGUG